GUCUAUGGCCACACUGCUCUGAACAUGCCUGAUCUUGUCAGAUCUUGGAAGUUAAACAGGGUCAGGCCUGGUUAGUACUUAGAUGGGAGAUAGUUUAGAAAGCAUCCAUUGUUAGUCU
rnacentral:rRNA from 1 species